rnacentral:rRNA from 1 species
AGAGCGAACGCUGGCGGCAGGCCUAGUACAUGCAAGUCGAACGGAUCCUUCGGGAUUAGUGGCGGACGGGUGAGUAACACGUGGGAACGUACCCUUUGGUUCGGAACAACUCAGGGAAACUUGAGCUAAUACCGAAUGUGCCCUUCGGGGAAAAGAUUUAUCGCCAUUGGAGCGGCCCGCGUCUGAUUAGCUAGUUGGUAGGGUAAAGGCCUACCAAGGCUACGAUCAGUAGCUGGUCUGAGAGGAUGAUCAGCCACACUGGGACUGAGACACGGCCCAGACUCCUACGGGAGGCAGCAGUAGGGAAUCUUGCGCAAUGGGCGAAAGCCUGACGCAGCCAUGCCGCGUGAAUGAUGAAGGUCUUAGGAUUGUAAAAAUUCUUUCAGCGGGGACGAUAAUGACGGUACCCGCAGAAGAAGCCCCGGCUAACUUCGCGCCAGCAGCCGC